CACAUCUCUACUUGACAUACGAAGUCCGAAAAGGAGAGGAAGUGGGUGUUUGUGUGUUAUUAUUGUCAAACAAUGGAAAGUCGCUCGUACAUUGGGGGUGUAUGAUCUCAUAAAAAAGGAUUUGAAUCGUUUGAAUGGUUGUGCCAUGCCGGCAGCAGCUAAAUUAAUGAAAUAUGAAGAACAUAACGUACGCAGUUUGAGAAACAAGAUGUUGAAAUCUGCAUGUGGAUAGACAGUACAGUAUUGUAACAUUUCGCAUACGUGAACAAGUUGUCAGUAUAGCUUUGUUGCAGGAUAUGUUGUAAUGUUGAAUUGCAGUGUAUACGGACUCCCACUGACAGUGAAGUCAAGAAAUAUCAGUGUAGGGCUGUAAUUAUACUAAGCGUGCAAAUACUGUGAAGAAGUCCAGAUUACAAUGUCACCAAGACCCGGUAUGCCUCCAGGCACGAGUACUGACGCACCUCCAUCACCACCUCCCAGUGAACCGCCGUCACCGAGACAGAUGAAAUGUGCUGAAGGGUUGCCAGAGCCUCCUGGUCUAAAUGAAGUUGAGAUAAUUCUCAGACCUAAUCGUACCUUAAUGGGAAGGAAUUGCACAGUCGUUAAAUCAUUAAAAUUGAGAGCUACACGUUACCUUCGAACGACGAUUAAUGCUUCAAUUGAUCACUUGAAGGAGUACUUGCAGUAUUGUUUGUCACAUGACCUGCAAUGUGAUAUUAAAGUGGCAGACAUGUCUAUUUAUGUACAACCAGCACCUCAUGGCCCAAUGAUUGAAGUUAAGGGAACCCAGACAAUCCGUUGUGUCCGGUACAAGUACUGGAGGUUUAGCUUAUCACCUAUUACACUUUAUUAUUGCUGCAAGAAAGGCUGAUUUCACAGUAUUCACCUACAUUUUUCAGGCAUGAAUGUACGCUAAUGAAAAAAGGACUCUGAAAUGGAUAUUGAGACAACCCAUAAUUUAUUUAUAAAAUGAUGAGCAAUAAAAGUGUUAGUAUAAUGGUUAUGAAAACUAGAAUUUUGAGAGAUUUCACAUGUGAAAAAGAUUUGAGUAUAUGUGAGACAACUUGGGAGCACACAGAAUUUGGCUGUGCAUUAGAGAUUGUCAGUAGUGAUAAACUGUAAGUAAGUUUAAGUUAUCUUGCUAUAUUUUAUCAGUUGCAAGGAAUGUAAGACCUAUUCAUUUGUAUAAAGAAAGUGGUCUCUUGUACAUAAUUACUAGUCAGAAUUCAUAUAUUACUGGAAAAUAUAUUAUUUGAAACCAAACAUAGAACACUUGACACAGUCUAGUUACCCCCAAGACUAAACAUAUACCAAGUUAAAUAUUUCUAUAACAGACCUCAUCUAAAUGCUUUCCUCACUUCUUGAAACUAAAUGCAGGUAGUCUACAAGACUAGUUACCGUAUAUCCUUUUUCCUUGAUUUUCAUUCUUUCAUUCUCUCCUUCAAUUCCUUUUGUCUGAUCUUUUAACCUGUUGUAGGUAAUGAUAUUCCAUAUUUGUCUGGAACCAUAACUGUAGGGUCAUGUAGCAGCAAUAAUAUAAGGCCUUGAUGACAACAGAAACAGUCAUUGACUGCUCUAGGGUAACUUUACUGAUUGAAAUUUCAGUGCUAUUCAUUCACAAUGAGACAAUCCCAAACAUGCAUAAUAAUAAAACCCUUUAUAGUCACAAUUUCUACUGGAAGAGACAGACUGAUUAUAGGAAGUGAGAGAGAGAAUCUGUAACAUAUCUUGCUCUGCUGUGACAAUUGGGAGACUGCACAUUUCAGCUGUUGACUAAAUUAAAAAAGCCAACCCCAGUAAAUGAGCAUAUUUGCUGCUCACUAAAAAGUAUUUUAUCAAAGUAACAUUUCCAGUCUAGGAAUAUAACACUGUUGUGGUAUAUAAUAGUCCAGUGUAGUCAUUCACAUCCUAAAAGUGCAUACUAAAUCUAAUGCUAAACAGUAAUCAAAAUAAUAUCCAUUUAAAGUCUAGAAUCUUGUGCAAGUAGUUAGGUGGUUACACAUUACAACAGCUUUCUGCACAUUUUGUCUCGACACUCUUUGUUGUCAUUGCAUUAAUAAAAGAUGUGCUCAUACAACUGUAGUGUGCAUUUUCACAUAUUUGAAUGUAAUUUUUAAGCAUGUUAAUGGAGAAAAUUGUAAUAGACUGAAGUCCCAUGUUAAUAUUAACAACUUUAGAAACUCUCUCUUCCUAUCCUUUCAUUCAAUAUUAGUAGAUUUCUUAAUACUGAAUGAGUCUUCCACAAUGUGUGUACAACAUCAGUAAACAUGUAUUCAAUGGUUAAACGGUAGGCAGUUAGCUUUAAGAAGUGAUUGUGCCUCUGUUUAUGCAGUCCUUAUAAUGAACGGUGGCUGUUUAUUGUUCUGUCCAAUCAUGGUACUCUACUACAUGCACUGGUUGACUGCUAAAACUGUGCAUAUUCUGUUAGUGGGUGAUGCAUUUUUCUUAAAUUUAUCUUUUCAUGGUAUGUUACCAGCAAGAUCAAUCUUGCUGUGAGAACAUUCUCAGAUAAACACUAAAAGUGAUGAAUUUGCAUGUUUUACAUGACCACUGUUUUGUUUUUAACAAACCUAAUUCAGUUUUCAAAGGUCGACAUAUCACGUCUUCUAAAUUUUUUGGUGGUUAAGUUCAGUUUUCAUUUUUUUUAUUGUCAUCCAAAGAAGUUACUUCUGGCUUUUAUAAUCAACUGAUAAGAUAUCAGGAAAGUCAUUGUACAUGGGAAGUUCCUCACCUACAAAUAAGUAUUGUGGGUGUUAUAUAAAAAAAAAUUGUGUUCUCUCGUGCAAGUGAUUUUUGAUUUUGAUAGACCAAAUCCAACUUCAGUGAUAAUUCUACAGCAUAUGAGGUUAGCCAUACAGCAGGUAGUAUGCAUUUGAUAAUAUCUUGACUAGUGCAGCAUUGGUGCAUUUUUAAUUCUGAAUUAUAAUGCAUGUUAAAUACUUUAUCAUUGUGAGUUAGAUAUCUAACUUAAUUUGAACUAGUGUGAGUAGGAUGUGGGUAUGAAUGUGGGGAAGGGUAUGUGGAAAGAGGCUAUUGAAAAUGAUUGUCAUAUGUUAAUCAUUGCAGUUAAUAAGAUUCAUCAUCUUAUGGGGUAUCCAUUGCAAUACUUCUGGAUGAGUGAUAAUAUCAGAAUCUUUAACAAUACAGUACUCUGUAAGUAGACAAGAUUAGAGAAACAGAUGUAUGCAAGCACUCAAUCUGUUAUAAGAAAUUUGAAUUUUACUGCCUUGACAUUUGCUUGUAGCUAAACAUGAAAGAUGUUGUUAAUACUUACAGCAAUUUACAAACUGAUUGACUAAAAAUUAUGGUAUUAAAAAGUAGAGUUUGAGUCAAAGAACAAUUAUUUAAUCUGAUUGGAUUAUUAGUACACUGGUCAGCUUUAUUAAUUUAAUUUUAAUAAUAGAAACUAGUACAUUCUGAAAUCCACUAUAAUUCCUCUAACUGCAAUGCAGUACAGAAUCAAAUACAUUAAUUUUUCCUUCUUAUAAGCCUAUAUAUAUUGUUGUUGUUGUUUUCUGUCUGAAGACUGAUUUGAUGCCGCUCUCCAUACUACACCAUCCUGUGCAUGCUUUUUUAUCUCCAAAUAACUACUGCAAUCUACAUCCUUUCAAAUCUGCUUACUGUGUUAAUCUCUCUCUACAAUCUCCCUCCCCCCCCCCCCCCCUCCCCCUCCC